UACGGGGGGGGUAAGCGUUGUUCGGAAUUACUGGGCGUAAAGGGUUUGUAGGUGGCUUGCUAAGUCAGACGUGAAAUCCCUCAGCUUAACUGGGGAACUGCGUCUGAUACUGGCGAGCUUGAGCGCAGGAGAGGAACGCGGAAUUCCAGGUGUAGCGGUGAAAUGCGUAGAUAUCUGGAGGAACACCGGUGGCGAAGGCGGCGUUCUGGACUGCAACUGACACUGAAAAACGAAAGCCAGGGGAGCAAACGGG
rnacentral:rRNA from 1 species